GGCUCAUUAGCUCAGUAGGUUAGAGCGUCGUGCUAAUAACGCGAAGGUCGCGGGUUCGAUCCCCUCAUGAGCCA
rnacentral:tRNA from 1 species